rnacentral:lncRNA from 1 species
AUGCGCCGGGUGGUGGUGGUGACCCAUGCCGUUGUAAGAGUUUACCAUCCCGGGGAGGGCCAUGCUCUGCACCCGAGAGUAGGGGUUAUAGGACGAGGGGGCCGUCAGGCCCUUGACGUUGACUGGACUCACGUUGCCGCUCGCCAUCUGGCAGGACGUGUAGGACAUCGGCGUGGGCGGCUGGCCCAACGACCAGGAGUUGUUCAUGAAGCUGGACUGCAGAUACUUGGGCGGGGACAGGUACCCGUAGCCGUCUCCUGCGAACAAGGCUUUUCCCGGCUGGAAGUGCGUGGGCGGCGGUCGGAAAGGCCGCUUCAUCCUGCGGCGUCUCCUGUAGUUCCCUUUCUCGAACAUGUCCUCGCAGGCCGGGUCGAGUGUCCAGUAAUUCCCCUUCCGCUCCCCGCCGCCCUCCCGCGGAACCUUGAUGAAGCACUCGUUGAGGCUCAGGUUGUGCCUGAUGCUGUUCUGCCAGCCUUUCUUGUUCUUCUCAUAGAAAGGGAACUUGCUGAUGAUGUACUGGUAGAUGCCAGACAGCGUGAGGCGCUUCUCGGAGCUCUCCCGAAUGGCCAUGGCGAUGAGGGCGACGUACGAGUAGGGGGGCUUCUGGGACGGAUCCGGCUUCUCGGAGACCUUCUCCUGCACCGGCUCCUCUUUCGGUCGCUCCUUGUCUUUGCUCGUGUUGGUGUCGUGGAUCAUCAGCGCCAUCGGGUCGUCCUCCGGGCUUUGGAGUAUUUCCGCGCCGUCUGGGCAGGUGGAGCAGCGCUGUCGUGUGUGUCAUCACCCCGCCGCUGCAGUCAUGCAGCCAGCUGCUGCAGCCACGGCCGGCUGCAUGACUGCAGCAGCAGCGGCAGCAGCAGCUGGACCGCUGCGGAGAGCCACCCAUCUCUCAACGCGCAAUUAGCUCACAGCCCGCCGUUUGGAGCCGCGCAGCGCCGUGUUCACUCCUCAUCCACGGCGUCGUUUUGCACAUGUUCUAAGACACGGAGCGUUUCUUUAGCUUCUCAACGCCGUCAUCACGCCUCUGUUUUGUAAGCAUUUGCUUUGCGUAAAACACAACAUCCUUCAGUGUGCCGCAUCUCUGGAAAAUAAGGCGCAACAGAACCAGCUGUCAAUCAGAGCAAACAUUAGCGGCUAAAAACAGCCCGCAAAUUCUACCUAUUCCAUUAAAGACAUGCUUUCAUUCUACUGGGCGCAUGUGGCAGAGGGCCUCACUGAUUAUGUGCCACACAAACUCAUAUAGUUUAAAGGAUUUUGUUUAAAUUAAAAAUAUAUAUAAAAAACUGGUUGUGGCAAAUGUGCGUCUUUGGGAUCUGCCUGAAAUAAAGUUGGUUUUAAAAGCCUUUAAUCCCCCAUACAAACUUUGGUAUCUUCCUCUUCCGUGGUUUUGCACACAACAAAAACAAACUCGGGAAGGACUCAACACAAAGUGUUCAGGGAAGACCUUGCAAAAAAAA